rnacentral:rRNA from 1 species
AUUGAACGCUGGCGGCAGGCCUAACACAUGCAAGUCGAACGAGUGGCGGACGGGUGAGUAAUGUCUGGGAAACUGCCUGAUGGAGGGGGAUAACUACUGGAAACGGUAGCUAAUACCGCAUACCAUCAGAUCUGCCCAUAUUGGAUUAGCUGGUUGGUGGGGUAAAGGCUCACCAAGGCGACGAUCCCUAGCUGGUUUGAGAGGAUGACCAGCCACACUGGAACUGGGACACGGUCCAGACUCCUACGGGAGGCAGCAGGGGGGAAUAUUGGACAAUGGGGGAAAGCCUGAUGCAGCCAUGCCGCGUGUAUGAAGAAGGCCUUCGGGUUGUAAAGUACUUUCAGCGGGGAGGCGUUACCCGCAGAAGAAGCACCGGCUAACUACGUGCCAGCAGCCGCGGUAAUUC